CAGCAGCCGCGGGAAUACGAAGGGUGCAAGCGUUAAUCGGAAUUACUGGGCGUAAAGCGUGCGUAGGCGGUGAGUUAAGUCUGCUGUGAAAUCCCCGGGCUCAACCUGGGAAUGGCAGUGGAUACUGGCUCGCUAGAGUGUGUCAGAGGAUGGUGGAAUUCCCGGUGUAGCGGUGAAAUGCGUAGAGAUCGGGAGGAACAUCAGUGGCGAAGGCGGCCAUCCGGGACAACACUGACGCUGAGGCACGAAAGCGUGGGGAGCAAACAGGAUUAGAUACCCCCGUAGUCCCUGUCUCUUAUAC
rnacentral:rRNA from 1 species